CGUGUACUCUCCCCCUUCUUCUGCAAUAUCAGCCGAUCUCCAUUGCUUCCACCAAUUUUCCUUGCCGUUUCCAGUGUUUAGUAGCUAUAAUAUUCUACCUGAUUACUCCCUUUCCUUAAUUGUAUGCAAACCCUUUGAUAUAUGCAUGUAUGUGUUGGCUGUGAUUAGGGUUUCGGCCCAAGAGGUGGCUUUGUUGUGCGAUUGUAUGAGAAAGGAGGCUGCGAGCCUCACCUGGGUCGAGAGCUCGUGAAAACGAAUCUCCCCAAGUGAAGGCUGGUCAUGGCGAUGAACUGCAGCGUAAUAGUUUAAUCAAUCACCAUUCAAUAUGCCAAGUGUUUGUGGGAGAGGUGGCUAGGCACACAACAAAUUGGCCCCAGCAGCAGCAUGACUGCCGGAAUACAUGCAAAUGUCAGUAAUAUGCCUCUUCGUCCAAUUUGGGAGCCAAAACUUAAUAUUCCUAGAUCCUCUGAAUAUUCGGAGAUUCGUGGCUUUUCUAGCAACAUAGCACCAAGCAACAUGUUUGAUUUUGGUUUUGAUGGUAGUGCAAAACCAAAACCAAGUUGGAAUUUGAAUAUGAAAGGAGGAAAAUAACAAAGACCUAAUCUAGAUGCAGACUUUGGACCGAGAGGCACCAAUGUUGCUAAUUAUAUUUGCAGAUGGUUAACAUGUCAAUUUUUUGUUGGCAAAUUUGGGUUUGUGGCAACACCACUAGUUAACAUGUCAAUUCUAUGUCAUUCCAAAAUUUAUUAAUUUAUGAUUCAAUAAAUUGUAUAAACGGAAAGGUUUGUAAUCUUAGCAGAGAAGUCCUUUGGUGAUAA